UGGGAAUUAGCUCAGUUGGUAGAGCGGUGUUCUUAUAAAGCAUGUUUGUCCAGGGUUCAAGUCCCUGAUUCCCAA
rnacentral:tRNA from 1 species